AUUGAACGCUGGCGGCAUGCCUUACACAUGCAAGUCGAACGGUAACAGGUCUUCGGACGCUGACGAGUGGCGAACGGGUGAGUAAUACAUCGGAACGUGCCCAGUCGUGGGGGAUAACUACUCGAAAGAGUAGCUAAUACCGCAUACGAUCUGAGGAUGAAAGCGGGGGACCUUCGGGCCUCGCGCGAUUGGAUGGGCCGAUGGCAGAUUAGGUAGUUGGUGGGAUAAAAGCUUACCAAGCCGACGAUCUGUAGCUGGUCUGAGAGGACGACCAGCCACACUGGGACUGAGACACGGCCCAGACUCCUACGGGAGGCAGCAGUGGGGAAUUUUGGACAAUGGGCGAAAGCCUGAUCCAGCAAUGCCGCGUGCAGGAUGAAGGCCUUCGGGUUGUAAACUGCUUUUGUACGGAACGAAAAAGUCUCCUCUAAUACAGGAGGCCCAUGACGGUACCGUAAGAAUAAGCACCGGCUAACUACGUGCCAGCCGCCGCCGUAACAC
rnacentral:rRNA from 1 species